AAGGUUGACCUUAAGCCUCU
rnacentral:snRNA from 1 species